UCACCCUUCAUAGGGAGCCUGCAGAAAGCAGGAACACUCCUGCAGCCUUUGUGCCACUUCCCUUGGAACAAAGUAUUGGGGCACCCAGGAAGGGGAACAGGGAAAGCAGCCAUUUACUGGUGUUAUUUGCACUGUGAUUUUGUAGCUAGCUGGUCUGGGCAAACUGGCACUGAGGGCCCAGGACAGCUGUUGGCUGGAAUUUUUUAAUUAAGGGGGGAAAAAAAGGCUGAUUUGUGCACCAGCUUCUGAGCAAAAGAAUCACAAGCAUUUGGUCCAACCCUGCCUUCCCUUUUCCUACCACACUGACUGUACCUCUGCACAAUCACCUGAUGGACCCUGGCACCUCAUGUUUUAGAGAAUAAAGUAGCUAUUCUCCUCAUCUGUUUAGAAUCAACCUGACCUGAAUCAAUCCAGACCUGAAUGGUAACAAAGAGCAACUUAUAUUUGUCCCUGCCUUGAGAGGACAACUGUCAACCACCUGCUGGAUCAUGACCACACUGCUUUAGUUGAUGCCUAUUAAACAGCUGUUUGGUACCCUGGAAAAAAAGUGUUGAACCAUUACUUGAUCUCCAGCUGCCCGGAGCAGCACUUUCUGCAUGAUCUGGAACUCCUGGCUAUGGUAGAUUGGAGGACCAACUCUUCCAGAAGGGAGGGAGAAGAGAGGAAGGCGGUAGGAAGAAGUUCCUCCAGAGGUGUGGCACAGGAAGAAAACCCUGUGCCAGGCAUGGGAUCACCAGGCAAGCUGCAGGCAGCCGGGGAACCUCCAGCACAAGGAGCAUCACGUGGCACCUGAUCCCAAGCCCAACAGCAGCCAGUGUCUCCAGCACACUUCAAACACACUUGUUCAAGUGAUCACUCAACACCAGAGGUAUUUGCGAGAGAUCUGCUUUUGCAUGUGGUAAUGUCCAUCUGGCAGCAGAUAACUAUUAGGCUUUUGCAGUGCAAAAUGCAGUGCACAUGCUCCAAAUUAAGCAAACCCAGAGCUUAAAGGCAUAAAUCAUAGCACAAUGUUUUCUCUUCCAAGAUGAAGUUUAGCUCCUUUAGAAUUCAGCUUCAACAUAAUGCUCAAUUAAAGGUGUAGAAGCCACUUAACAACUGAACUAACUAGCAAUGCUCCUUGAGACUUUGAGAUGCCCCCAUCAGUUCAGAGAGCAGUUAAGAGGUGACAAUGCUCCGUCCCUGGCUGACUUCAUAUCUUGGGGCUUUUUUUAUCAGAACAGUGGUGAACAUGGGAUGAAAAUUCUGUCGAACCCAAUGGAAGACUCUGAGCCUACUUGGGCCCAGGUUUCCAGCAGCAGGACGCUAACCACUAGGCACCAGGGUGGGCUAUGACAGCUUUUACUUUUUAUUUUAUAAAGAUAAAAACCCUGCCUGGAGUUUGUACAGCUGGAAGAUGAA